GACGAACGCUGGCGGCGUGCUUAACACAUGCAAGUCGAACGCUGAAGCUCAGCUUUUGUUGGGUGGAUGAGUGGCGAACGGGUGAGUAACACGUGAGUAACCUGCCUCCUUCUUUGGGAUAACGCCCGGAAACGGGUGCUAAUACUGGAUAUUCACUGGUCUUCGCAUGGGGGUUGGUGGAAAGGGUUUUUCUGGUGGGGGAUGGGCUCGCGGCCUAUCAGCUUGUUGGUGGGGUGAUGGCCUACCAAGGCUUUGACGGGUAGCCGGCCUGAGAGGGUGACCGGUCACAUUGGGGCUGAGAUACGGCCCAGACUCCUACGGGAGGCAGCAGGGGGGAAUAUUGCACAAUGGGCGCAAGCCUGAUGCAGCGACGCCGCGUGAGGGAUGGAGGCCUUCGGGUUGUGAACCUCUUUCGCUCAUGGUCAAGCCGCAACAAUGGUUGUGGUGAGGGUAGUGGGUAAAGAAGCGCCGGCUAACUACGUG
rnacentral:rRNA from 1 species